GGGAGUGUGGCUUAGUGGCAGGAGCAUUUGCUUUGUGUACAGAAGGUUCCAGGUUCAAACCCCACCAUCUCCA
rnacentral:tRNA from 1 species